CACCGCCCCAGCGCCGGCGUCGCCCCAGCACCGCCACAUCACCGCCCCAGCCCAUCGUCACCCCAGGCUCGACAGUAAAACUCAGGCACUCCGUUAGAGGGAGCGACCAAUGGAGGAAUAACUGAGAUCGCUUCUCCAAGAUCUUGAAACCCUCAAGCGAUCUGUACCCAAUCCCGAUCAAAAUGAUUCCAUCAACAAGUUGCAACAAAGAGUACAUAAAAUCAUGAGCAUGUCGAAAUCGGGGUCCGCCCGGCGAUCGAAAGUCAAGGAUAUGAGUGCCGAGGAGGUGGAUAGCAACCCCUAUAGUAGACUAAUGGCACUUCAACGAAUGGGUAUUGUGCAGAACUAUGAAAGGAUACGAGAUUUCUCGGUCGCGAUAGUAUGGAGUUGGCGAACAUGAAUAGGCUUUUCUUUCGUUCAGACCAGGCUGGCAUGACCAAGACAGAUUCUGUUGUUCAGACUCUUUCAGACAUUAACCCUGAUGUUGUACUAGAAGUAAGUGACUCUUUAGUAUGUUGCUUGUGGUGUAAAAUUUACUAACCACAUUCCGAGCCAUACUGUUUCCUAGAUCUUAAAAUGUCGACAUUACCUUUGAUGUACUCCUACCUUUGAUGCACCAUUGUCUUUGUUUAUCAUUUUAGCUCAUGGACUAAAUCCAAAUUACAACUAUCUUGAAUGAAAAAUCCAUGUGUUUAUUUACACUAAUUGAAUUGUUUUUACUUAUUUUCAGUGUUGAUCCAGUUAAUAAAGAGAAGUUUAAAAACAGACAAGUUGAUUCUUUGAAUAUAUCAUCCAUACAUUGUCUAGUUAAUCAAUUUAGAACUGUGAAGGAUGUAGGUAGCCCUAUUACUUAUACCCGUAGCAAACAAUGCUUACCCAAUUAUCGGGUAUAUACAUAUGUACUAUGUACAUAUACUGGAGGC